UGCCUGAAGGUAAGUGCUAUGACCUUUCCUUGUAGUUGUGGAACUUGGUGCUGUUAUCCAUGGGUUUGUCACCUGAAGACUUGAGAAUUGCAAUGAAGUAAAGGGAGCUAAAUCCCCUGGGAAAUGAGGAACUGGUGCUGAAGGCAAGCAUCCUGCUAAGUAAGCAGGGUAUCUCGUUUGCAUAAAAGCCAAGAUCCAAUGAGAGAGCUCUCUUUGGGUAGGCGCUAAGCCAUGGGGACCUGAAGACAGUUGGUGUUUCUUGGAAAUGGGCUCUGACUCCUCUACUUUUCUGCUUCACAGGGAAAGAAGAUAUUUUGGGUCACAAUACGGACCUACACUUUUCUCAGCUGGUAAAAAAACGUAGUCCAUAUUUCUUCCUAGCAAAAGUCUGGCUCUACCUCAACUUCAGCAGUCACAAAGACUAAUAUGUAACAAGGAUUGCAUUAAAAAUGUAACGUAAAAAUAUGUCUUUAGUAAAAGGAAAUGGGAAUUGCACAAUUUUUUUCUUAUUUCUCUGGAGAAAAAAAGGGUUUCUAGAUACAAGCCGCUUUUUGCCUAUUUCAGUCUCUGUGCUUCUUAUUCCACUGCUUUAGCAGGCUUGUAAUGAACGAAGAGAUAGAAUAUGGGAAAGUGACAUAGGUAGUAAAUUGUGUAAGUUAUAUAAACGCAUGGCAAUAGCAAGCAGAUUUCAAUGCUAAUGCAGACAGCAGAGAUUUCUACAGUUAAGGAAGAAAGGAGGGAACCUGCAGCAUCUGAAGAGAGAUCGGCUGACUGAACUCCAGCGCCUGCUCCAGCCUGUAGAUGGGAGACAGCCACAGAUGGGGAAAGUGGAAGCAACUCUUGAAACCUGCAGAAGUGACAAUUAGCUGAAGCUUGAGCUUUGGUAAUAAAGGGAAAGAGAUCAUUAACCAUAAGAGAUGAGAGUUUGUGGAGGACCAAAGAAAAAAGAAAGGGGGAAAAAAAAAAACAAAACUCUUUAACUCUGGAGUUUUUAAAAGUGCCCUUGUUUGUUUUCUUGGCAGAGAAGCAGAGCAUUUGGCACCCAUCCUUGGAAGGUGUCCCAGCUGUAAAAAUGCUGGGGUUGGCCCUUUCCAUGCUGUUGCUAAGCGGAUGGCCCAAUAGCCAGCAGGGCCCUCCAAACCCCACCCCGCUCUCCGGUCGGAUCCAGGCUUCAGCCCACUUGUAUUAAAAGCCUCUCUUCUCCCACUUGCUAAUAAUAAUAAUUU